UCCAGUUGUUUCCUGCACCUCUCCUGGGCUCAUCCACGGGGCGGCUUCCCGGGGGAGGCGGCCGCUGGUUCCGCGGGGCGCGGGAGAGGCCUGCCCGGGCUUCCCUGCCCGCCUUCCUGGCCGGCCUCCUCGGGGGCGGGCUCUGCAUUGGAGGCGGAGCGAGCGGGCGAGGCGGGCGGGCCGGCCCAGCUAGGCCGGUGCGAGAUUGGCCUGUUCCAGCCUAGACAUCAGUCGCCAUGGGGGAAAGGAAAGGAGUCAACAAGUAUUACCCACCUGAUUUUGACCCGGCCAAGGUAAGGUGCUUUAGGCAGCUGGCAAGGCGUGAGGUGGGCCCUGAAGACCACAGCAGCUGUGAAAAAGUUCACGAAUCUCCAUUG